AUACCUUAGCUUUGGCAGUAUCGCAGCUAAUGAGGUUUAUCUGAGGCACGAUUAUUGCUAAUUGAAAGAAAUAUACCUUAAAGCAAGCUUUGAUUUAUAUUAUCACAAAACCCCUUUCCAAGCCUCUAACAGAACCUUAAUGAUAAAUUCAGAUUCUAUUGUGUAUUCAUGAAUA
rfam:Dipodomys ordii contig_32022, whole genome shotgun sequence.